UGGCAAGCGUUGUCCGGAUUUAUUGGGCGUAAAGCGAGCGCAGGCGGUUUCUUAAGUCUGAUGUGAAAGCCCCCGGCUCAACCGGGGAGGGUCAUUGGAAACUGGGAGACUUGAGUGCAGAAGAGGAGAGUGGAAUUCCAUGUGUAGCGGUGAAAUGCGUAGAUAUAUGGAGGAACACCAGUGGCGAAGGCGGCUCUCUGGUCUGUAACUGACGCUGAGGCUCGAAAGCGUGGGGAGCGAACAGGAUUAGAUACCCUGGUAGUCCACGCCGUAAACGAUGAGUGCUAAGUGUUGGAGGGUUUCCGCCCUUCAGUGCUGCAGCAAACGCAUUAAGCACUCCGCCUGGGGAGUACGACCGCAAGGUUGAAACUCAAAGGAAUUGACGGGGGCCCGCACAAGCGGUGGAGCAUGUGGUUUAAUUCGAAGCAACGCGAAGAACCUUACCAGGUCUUGACAUCCUUUGACCACUCUAGAGAUAGAGCUUCCCCUUCGGGGGCAAAGUGACAGGUGGUGCAUGGUUGUCGUCAGCUCGUGUCGUGAGAUGUUGGGUUAAGUCCCGCAACGAGCGCAACCCUUAUUGUUAGUUGCCAUCAUUUAGUUGGGCACUCUAGCGAGACUGCCGGUGACAAACCGGAGGAAGGUGGGGAUGACGUCAAAUCAUCAUGCCCCUUAUGACCUGGGCUACACACGUGCUACAAUGGGAAGUACAACGAGUUGCGAAGUCGCGAGGCUAAGCUAAUCUCUUAAAGCUUCUCUCAGUUCGGAUUGUAGGCUGCAACUCGCCUACAUGAAGCCGGAAUCGCUAGUAAUCGCGGAUCAGCACGCCGCGGUGAAUACGUUCCCGGGCCUUGUACACACCGCCCGUCACACCACGAGAGUUUGUAACACCCGAAGUCGGUGAGGUAACCUU
rnacentral:rRNA from 1 species